GCAGUUAGUGGUGAUAGAAAGAACGAUCGUAUUUCACUCCAACAAUAGAACCUUGUGAGAACUCAGAUCUAGAAGCGAUGAGAAGGAACGACAGCGCAUGUUUCGUUUUCCUUUUUUUUACUGAGCUAUUGAGUUGUGUUGUUGUUGGGUGUUGAAUGUAUUGAUUCUUGAAUUAUAUAUACGAGUGAGGAAGAAGAAGACUGCAGAUCUGUUCUUUCCUCUUUUAAUUCAUA
rnacentral:lncRNA from 1 species